rnacentral:rRNA from 1 species
AUGAAAAAAAAGAAAGCAUUGCCUUCUUUACUAUAUCUUGUAUUUAUCGUACUUUUGCCUUGGGGGGUCUCUUCCUCAUUUAACAAAUGUCUGGAACUUUGGAUUAAGAAUUGGUGGAAUACCAGGCAAUCCGAAACUCUCUUAACUGAUAUUCAAGAGAAAAGGAUUCUAGAAAGAUUCAUAGAAUUAGAAGAACUGUCUCUCUUGGACGAGAUGAUAAAAGGGAAACUAAAGACACAUGUACAAAAACCUCCUACAGGAAUACACAAGGAAAUAAUACAAUGGGUCAAAAUAAAUAAUGAGGAUCAUCUCCAUACCAUUUUGCAUUUCUCGACAAAUAUAAUCUGUUUGGCUAUUCUAAGUGGUUCUUUUUUUCUGGGUAAAGAGGAACUUGUCAUUUUGAAUUCUUGGGUUCAGGAAUUCUUCUAUAAUUUAAAUGACUCAAUAAAAGCUUUUUUUAUUCUUUUAGUUACUGAUUUUUUUGUUGGAUUUCACUCCACCCGUGGUUGGGAACUAGUAAUUCGUUGGGUCUACAACGAUUUUGGAUGGGCUCCUAACGAGCUUAUUUUCACUAUUUUUGUUUGUAGUUUUCCAGUAAUUCUAGAUACAUGUUUGAAAUUUUGGGUCUUUUUUUUGUUUAAACCGUCUAUCUCCUUCGCUUGUAGUCAUUUAUCAUUCAAUUAG